UACGUAGGGGGCAAGCGUUGUCCGGAUUUAUUGGGCGUAAAGAGCGUGUAGGCGGCCAGGUAGGUCCGUUGUGAAAACUCGAGGCUCAACCUCGAGACGUCGAUGGAAACCAUUUGGCUAGAGUCCGGAAGAGGAGAGUGGAAUUCCUGGUGUAGCGGUGAAAUGCGCAGAUAUCAGGAAGAACACCCGUGGCGAAAGCGGCUCUCUGGAACGGUACUGACGCUGAGACGCGAAAGCGUGGGGAGCGAACAGG
rnacentral:rRNA from 1 species